AUUGAACGCUGGCGGCAGGCCUAACACAUGCAAGUCGAGCGGAUGAAGGGUGCUUGCUCCUGGAUUCAGCGGCGGACGGGUGAGUAAUGCCUAGGAACCUGCCUGGUAGUGGGGGAUAACGUCCGGAAACGGGCGCUAAUACCGCAUACGUCCUGAGGGAGAAAGUGGGGGAGCUUCGGACCUCACGCUAUUAGAUGAUCCUAGGUCGGAUUAGCUAGUUGGUGGGGUAAAGGCCUACCAAGGCGACGAUCCGUAGCUGGUCUGAGAGGAUGAUCAGUCACACUGGAACUGAGACACGGUCCGGACUCCUACGGGAGGCAGCAGUGGGGAAUAUUGGACAAUGGGCGAAAGCCUGAUCCAGCCAUGCCGCGUGUGUGAAGAAGGUCUUCGGAUUGUAAAGCCCUUUUGGUUGGGAGGAAGGGCAGUAAGUUAAUACCUUGCUGUUUUGACGUUACCAACAGAAUAAGCACCGGCUAACUUCGUG
rnacentral:rRNA from 1 species